rnacentral:rRNA from 1 species
UACGGGGGGGGCAAGCGUUGUUCGGAAUUACUGGGCGUAAAGGGCUCGUAGGUGGCCAACUAAGUCAGACGUGAAAUCCCUCGGCUUAACCGGGGAACUGCGUCUGAUACUGUGCGGCUAGAGUGCAGAAGGGGCAACUGGAAUUCUUGGUGUAGCGGUGAAAUGCGUAGAUAUCAAGAGGAACACCUGCGGCGAAGGCGGGUUGCUGGGCUGACACUGACGCUGAGGCGCGAAAGCUAGGGGAGCGAACGGG